UUUGCCCAUUGAAGAGAGUGGCUUCGCCCAUAAGAAGUGGUUUUGCUCAUGGAGAGUGGCCAUUACAGUCCAUGGAAAGAAAGAGGCUUCGGCUUAAGGUGGAGAAAGGGUAUAAAAUUUAAGAGGAAGUAAUUCUUGUCUAUUGAUGAGAGAGUUAUUGCUUAUGUAGUUGAAAAUGCCCUUUGUGGUGUAAUAGUUGUGGUAUUAAAUAUAUUAGGUUAUUUGUAGAGGAAAAUUGAGAGGGUUAACUAAUAUAUUUACUAUGAGU
rnacentral:misc_RNA from 1 species